rnacentral:rRNA from 1 species
GUGUGAGUAAUGCCUAGGAAUCUGCCUAUUAGUGGGGGAUAACGUUCCGAAAGGAACGCUAAUACCGCAUACGUCCUACGGGAGAAAGUGGGGGAUCUUCGGACCUCACGCUAAUAGAUGAGCCUAGGUCGGAUUAGCUAGUUGGUGGGGUAACGGCUCACCAAGGCGACGAUCCGUAGCUGGUCUGAGAGGAUGAUCAGCCACACUGGAACUGAGACACGGUCCAGACUCCUACGGGAGGCAGCAGUGGGGAAUAUUGGACAAUGGGCGAAAGCCUGAUCCAGCCAUGCCGCGUGUGUGAAGAAGGUCUUCGGAUUGUAAAGCACUUUAAGUUGGGAGGAAGGGUUGUAAGCUAAUAUCUUGCAGCUUUGACGUUACCAACAGAGUAAGCACCGGCUAACUCUGUGCCAGCAGCCGCGGUAAUACAGAGGGUGCAAGCGUUAAUCGGAAUUACUGGGCGUAAAGCGCGCGUAGGCGGCUUAGUAAGUUGGAUGUGAAAGCCCCGGGCUCAACCUGGGAACUGCAUCCAAAACUGCUUGGCUAGAGUACAGUAGAGGGUGGUGGAAUUUC